UUUACAAAGACCUUACAUUUACUAACUAGACUGUGUACCAAAAAUUUUUGUUAGGCUAAAAUGAGAUCUAUUACAUUAUCUUAGGGUAGCUAUUUCCAUUAUGAUCGGUAGCUAUCUAAAAGCGGUCCUGGUGAGAAGGCUUCCGGGGGUAGUGUGUCCUUGUCUGACGUCUUGCCAGCUCAACUAAUUUAUUGGGUUUGGUAGUAAUGGUAGAAAAUUUUAUAUUUAGUAUUUUUAUGAUUUACCAAAACGAACAAUCCAUAAACUUUGCAACUCAAUUUUAAUAUUUCUACAGUUUAUAUGAAUAAUAAUUAUCUCGUUGUAUUUAGAAAAUAAUCUAAUAAUACUGAGUAAAAGUAGUACUUAAAUGUUUGGGACUGGUAAUACUAAAUGCAAUAUGGUGGUUUGUUUACUUGGUUGUUUGGUUGAUUUUCGUACUUCGAUUUGCGAUUGUGUACAUUUUCAUAAUAAACCUGUUUGUUUUUCAUGAAAAAUGGUGAAUUCAAGUUGUGUGACAGGUGCAAAAAUGAGUUUUAUCCUGGUAGCAGCUUUUCUUUCCACAGGUUUCCGAAGAAUGAAAAUCAGAAAUUGAUGUGGGGAAAUGCAGUGCCUGGAAAAAUCUCAAAAUCGUCUGUUAUUUGCAGUGCGCAUUUUAAAUGUGACGACUUUAUUCCUGGUUAUAUUAGGAAAAUGCAAUGUAUAAAAACAAAUCAUUAAAUAAUUAUUGCAA